UACGUAGGUGGCGAGCGUUGUCCGGAAUUACUGGGUGUAAAGGGCGUGUAGGCGGGGAAGCAAGUCAGAUGUGAAAUCCCGGGGCUCAACUCCGGAGUUGCAUCUGAAACUGUUUUUCUUGAGUGCUGGAGAGGAAAGCGGAAUUCCUAGUGUAGCGGUGAAAUGCGUAGAUAUUAGGAGGAACACCAGUGGCGAAGGCGGCCUUCUGGACAGUAACUGACGCUGAGGCGCGAAAGCGUGGGGAGCAAACAGGAUUAGAUACCCCUGUAGU
rnacentral:rRNA from 1 species